GUGCCAGCCGCCGCGGUGAUACGUAGGGUGCGAGCGUUGUCCGGAUUUAUUGGGCGUAAAGGGCUCGUAGGUGGUUGAUCGCGUCGGAAGUGUAAUCUUGGGGCUUAACCCUGAGCGUGCUUUCGAUACGGGUUGACUUGAGGAAGGUAGGGGAGAAUGG
rnacentral:rRNA from 1 species